CUCCCUGGACUCCGCCAGCCAGGCACCCCUAAAAAUAAUUGAAGACAAGAAAAAUCAAAGGUUGCCCAAGAAAGGAAAUGUAACCACAGUAUGCUGCUUGGUUGUGGAGGGGGGAGUCAGCUUCCGUGUCAUAAGGACAAACAGUCCCUUGGAGUGGCCCAUAUGGAAAGAAACCAAUUUUUCAGCACCAGUUUGCCGGCCAUGUGCGUGAGCCACCUUGGAAGUGGAUUCUCCAGCCCCAGCUCUUCUUUCCAGCUUAUCUCUUAACUCAGGCAAAAGACCUGAGGGACAUAACAUCCCAGAUGGAAACAGAAAUACCUCUCAAGCAAUAGCAACUGCCUAGAUCACCCAGACCAGUUUGAACUUAACCCCCCACUCAUGCCUGUGCAGAUGGACCAUGGAGAGACCCGUGGAGUGACUGACAGUUACAAUUACCUCAUUAUAAUAGUAAAAUCUCUGCCCAAGGAGGAGCAUACGCCUCAUAUACAUAACAUACAAUGUAUGUAUAGGCAUGUUUCCUUAAGGUGCCUGCGCCUCCUUUUGCCCCCCUCUACAUAGGAUGACAAGGCUUCCCUAUCUAAAUAUUCAUCCUAACCCUAAGUAAAAGGAACCUAUUCACCCUCGCUCAGGAAGUCAUGGCUUCAGAAGUUAUUCCUCAGCAAUCUCCUUGUUUGCUGCAAAUAAAGUUUACUUUGUGUGACAGCUCCA